rnacentral:rRNA from 1 species
CGCGUAGGUGGUCAAUUAAGUCAGAUGUGAAAGCCCCGGGCUCAACCUGGGAUGGUCAUUUGAAACUGGUUGACUAGAGUUUUGUAGAGGGUGGUAGAAUUUCAGGUGUAGCGGUGAAAUGCGUAGAGAUCUGAAGGAAUACCAGUGGCGAAGGCGGCCACCUGGACAGAGACUGACACUGAGGCGCGAAGGCGUGGGGAGCAAACG